ACUUCUUAUCUGGCAUAUGGUACAUUUAAUACUAUUUGCAAAAUAGAAAGAACAGGUGUAAAUCAUGACAGGUAAAUGAAAUGGGUAGUCUGCUAUCAGUCGCUGUGACACUUUGUGACUGUGAAAAUGUGUUACCAAUGUUACAUUUAACACUUUGCCAUGGGGCGGCGUUAAUCAAAGUCCCUCAAGCCCUCAGAGGCCCCCGUCUGAGAAAAUGCGCGUUAUCAACAAUCUUCGAGUGCCCGUACCCCGGGUAGACCGCUCUUGCACUGGCGUGUGAAGGGGUUGGGGGCGGAGCGUGGACGAACUCGGCUGGUUGGUGUUUUUCGCCGUGCCAGCAGCGAGCGUUAACGAGGAGAUACAGUAGAAGCAGGCCUUGAAGGGUGUCCGUAAAUAGUGACAGUGGCAGUGACGACCGCGUUGACCAAGGGAGAAGUAGAUGAGCGCGAGCUUUCAUUGAGCACAGACCGCGAAGGGGGAGGUCCCCAAGCCGAGCACUCACGCGAGACACCAUAAUUAUAGCAACAUAGGGUCCAGGUACCUGCUGAUGAGCGGCGAGUGAAGUCAUCGUUAAUUUGCAUCAGAUUCACGGUUUGGAAUGAUACCACUGCAUACAGAGACGACAACAAUCAAUGUUAUUUCAAAGGGGUACCCUUCAGUGCUGCAUCAUGGGAUGUCCAGGACAGUGCAUCGCAGGUUGACUGCAGUCCCACCCGGGGCCACGUGUGAGUUGAUGUACAGUUACCCCCGUAAGUGACUGAGAGGUCGCCAAAGUACUCCCCCAGCUUCUACCCCCCACUGAUAUCUACCUUCACAUUUGCACCUAAGUGCAGCCUUCGGGUGUAUUCAUAUGGAGCCUCCCAGCGUGCACUUAAACCGCGUGUUUCCUGGACAGCUACCUGAGCUGCAAAGGCUACAAAAACGUUGUGGUGUUGGUUACUGGUGUCAAGGUCACCUCCUCCUCGUAAAACAACCCUGGGCAGACAGUGCACAAAGGUCAAGCGUGACUUGGAGGGUAUGGCAAGCAGUGUAGUGAUGUGUACGAUGUGGGAUGCUGUGUAGUAAUGUGAUGAGUGUUGUGGAGUAAGGUAAGGGUGGAUAGAUGAUGUGUGUAUUGUGAGAGGCUUCGUUCAGUGAUUACUCAGUAUAAGUAUAUGAACCACACGACUUUAUUUAUUUUAUUUAUUCGAAGUAUCCAGCUUCUUAGGAGAGAUUAUGCUUUUCCUACAUAAGAGAUAAAAAGAACACCAACCCCCACCACCUUAUCUUUUCUCGCUCAUUCAUUCCCUUGAUCCUUACAUGGACUGGAGUUCGUCACAAAGUCAUAAUAUGUCCUUGAGAUCACUCCCCACCACCACCACCACCACCACCACCACCACCAUCAUCAUCAUCCGCGCCGUCAUUGUG